AGACCAGAGAGGCAUGUAGCUGCAGCUCACGUCCAAAGUGGUUUGAACUCUGAAAUCUCAACACGAGGUAGAGACGAUAACGUCACCUCCCGGACAAUCACUGAUACGGCUGAUUAGCUGUCCUAAGUAAAGCAUCUAGAAAAGUGAACUUAAGUGGGACCAUUCGACCUCUUUUCUCAAAUCACUAUAGUACGCUACUCUCAUCACCCAAUGGGAACCAUCAACACGGCUGGCUAGCCUAUCUUCAAAGAGGCAGUUUCAGGAGCAAAUGGAAGGGAAAUCAACUCUGUAGUUCUGUUCAGGACUACACGACGAACCAAGACAUUUACACGUGAAGAAGCCGGAUGAGGAGGUCCUGGGCUGGCAUGGUUACACGUGGACUGCGGUCGUGAGGACGUACUGUCAAAUUCUCUAAAAUGAUGUUGGAGGCAGCUUAUGGUGGGGAAACUAGCAUUCAAUUCUCUGACCACAGCUCUGGUGGACAUUCCUGCAGUCAGCAUGCCAAUUCCACGCUCCCGUGAAAUCUGUGGCAUUGUAAUGUGAAAAAACGGCACAUUUUAGAGUAGCCUUAUAUUCCCCUAACACAAGGUACACCUGUGUAAUGAUCAUGCUGUUUAAUCAGCUUCUUGAUAUACAUCACCUGUCAAGUAGAUAGAUUAUCUUGGCAAAGGAAAAAUGUUCACUAAUAGGGAUGUAAAAAAACAUGUGCACAUAAUUUGAGAGAAAUAAGACUUUUAAAAGAACAUUUCUGGUAUCUUUUAUUUUAGCUCAUGAAACAUGGGACCAAAAUGUACAUGUUGCGUUUUAUAUUGUUCUUCAGUAUAAUAUAACCAACUUUGAAAGCACCAGCUACCACUCAAAAUCACCCAUAUUGUGCCAUGUUUUUGGAUUGUAACUUUGGUGAUAGAAGCACCAAAUUGCCACACACAGCUAGAACAGGGUUUAAACAAAUGUAAAGUGCAAACACAUGUAAAGUCUUGGCCCCAUGUUUCAUGAGCUUAAAUAAAAGAUCCCAGAAAUGUUCCAUAUGCACAAACAGCUUAUUUCUCUCAAAUUGUUUGCACAAUUUUGUUCCCAUCCCAUAGCCUACAUUACAUAUGAAUUGUGACUGGAUCACGACAACCGUGGAUGUAUGUAGAAAACACACGAUUUUCCUUUAUGUCACUCCUGUUGGCUCCCAGUUCAUUCUCUCUCACACUCAAUUUGUGCAAAUAUGUACAAGUAUUUCAGCAGAUUUUGUGUGUUUUUGUGUGGCUUAAUUCAUGUGAAAAUACAUAUAUGUUUUGUGCGACUUCAUUCAUAGGAAAAUCUUUUUUUGUAGGGCACUUCAGCACAAUCUUUUAAAAGUUAUUAGAGCAAUGCAUGAUGGGCAAUGGUGUUCUACACUGCCUUUUUUGUGUCCCAUAUUUAUUUAUAUAGAAAAAUGAGUUAAAAAUCCAAUAUUGUUAAUCAACAAGGUUAAUUAUAAUAGUGUAAUAGUAGCCUUACUUUGUUUUUAAAUUUUUUCAUUCAUUCCAAUACUAUUUUCUAUGCUUGUUUUCACUUUGUGAUACUGGUGAACUCGUAGUCAGAAAGGCCCUUUUUUCAUUUAGGCAACAGUAGGCCUGUAACGUGUACACUGGGAGUCGGAGAAACAAGUACAGGGAGUAAAUUUUAUAAAUAAACGAACAUGGAACCAAACAAGAAACAAGAGUAGCGUACAGGCAUGAAUCAUAGGAAAAUAAUCAAUAAUGCCUAUAUAUAUAUAUUGAAGGUAAUCAGGCAGGUGAUGGAGUCCAGGCGAGUCUGAUGAGACACUGGUGCGCGUAACGAUGGUGACAGGUGUGAGUAAUAAUUAGAGGGAGUAUAAGUGACAAGGCCUACACGAUUUUCUUCACAACACAUUUCAUAUUUCAUGGAGCCUACAUUACACAAUUUUCUUCAUAAUGAAUUCAAGGCCCCACUUUUUCAUGUACAUUACACCAUUUCUUUCAUAAUGCAGUUCAUACAAGGAUAUGUUGAAUUUUAUGAAGGUUGCCGGAUUGUCAGUUUAUUUUGCGGUAUCGAUGAAGGUAUAUGAUUGGGGAACGAGGAUACAUUUUUAUGAUGUGAAAUUAUAAUACACACCAUAAUACACACAAACACUUACACACAUAUACACACACUCACUUUGUUUGUACUCAUGUUAUAGCCAACUCUUGACUUUUGUAUGAAUUAUUUUUAAUAAAAUAUUUGUAUCUA